AGCUUUUCAGAUUGUGUUGUUUUGUUGGAUCAAGUGCAUACGAAGCACAGAUGGCUUCCUCACCCUAUGGAGCUUCACAGGAAUUCAGAGUUUGAUACAAGGAGGAAUGACUUCUGGGGAACAAUUGAGCCAAAGACUCUAACAAUUGAGCCAAAAACUGCAAUGGAGUGAGGAACCAGCAAGUGGACCAGCUCUUCAUAAUAUCCUCUCCAAACAAGGAGAGGAUUUGAGAUUGCCCACAAGUACUUCAUACCAGGAGUCUUUGCUGGCUGAGGAAUUCUGAGAGUUGAAGUCCACAAGUCUUAAAGGGACCAAGGUUGGAGACCCCUGCUCCAUACAGUUGCUUCUAAUGAGAAGACCUCAGAACAGAGGUCUCUGGCGGGUCUAAGAAAAAUUCUUUCCAUUCAAACUGCAGUCAAGAGAUGGAUAAUAAUACAGAAUGAAGCAAAAUAUCCUAACUCUGAAUAUAUUGAAGGUUAUUUUGGAAAAAAUGUACCAGAAGCUAAUUUAAAAAAUGUUUGCUCUAUAGACCAACUGUGUUUAAAAGAUGUUAUGGAAGAGGAACAAGUUUUACAGGACAAGACUGAGACUCAUCUGAAAUUGGAUUUAAAAAUGAGGCUGCAAGAAUGAUAUGGAAAAAGGUGUUAUACUGGAUAUGCAAAUGAAACUAGCUGAUGUCUUAAUAAUUAAAAGGGAUAUACAAAGAACAAACCAGAAGAGUAAUCCAAAAAGAUUUUUAAAAUCUUUUAAAAUUUUAAUUCUUAAUAAAAAUUUAAAAGGAAAAGACGGAAGGAUGACUUUUAACAUUUCCUGUGACUUCCUGCAGUCCUUAUAACCUCUUCAAAUAUCUUCUGGAGAAUUGGGACCCUCUUUGGAGCAGAAAUGGAAGAAUAAAGGAGCGUAUUUGUAGUUCAAUGUUGACACGAGGGGUCCUGAGCUUGCUUGGUUUUUUUUUCUGCAGAUGUUUCAUUAUCCAAACUAGGUAACGUCAUCACUGCUAGUCUUAUCAUGCACUGAUGAUGUUACCUAGAUUGGGUAAUGAAACAUCUGCAAGAAAACAAACAAGCUCAGAAAACACCAAGGACCCCCUCAAUUGAGUUAGAAUGGAAAGGGUAAUUACCAAAAACCAGCUCCCUCCUUCUUUAUUUCAUGAUGGAUGACACUUAAUCUGGCAGGUCCAGAUUACUUGGAUCCCCUCCAGUGUUAUAACAUAAGCAAUAGCCAAGCACCCUAUUUAUUUCCAAUGUAUUCGUUAUGCUUCCUGCUUAAAACUAUUUAGUUCAUAAAUAUUGUAGAAGAGGAAUGAUGUCAAUGUUGAACUUUGAUGAAUUAAAACAAAAUGUUAACACUUACUCUUACUCAUUAUUUGGAUCUAUAUUUCAAUUUGGAGAAGAUUGUUUGUACAAAGGGAAACCUGUUCCAGCUUAAUGUCUUGCUCUGUUUGAUCUUUUUCUUUAAGGUUUGAGAGACAGUAUGCAUGCUUAGAAUAUGGAGUGGGAAGAAGAAAAAAAAACCAUUGAGACAAUUCACUCCCUGCAUAUCCUUAUUUUAGAAUAGGGGUGUGUCAAACUGGUGGCCAUGGCCACCCCAGCUCCACAAAUGGGAAAAAUGUCAUGAAACAUCACGUGACAGCAACGUGACACAGAGAAUUUGAUACUCUUUUGAGUUUUACAACAUUUAUAUACAGUUAUACUGAUUUCAAGGGGUUUGUCUAUGUACUCAAUAACCGGAAUUAUUGUAUAAUUUACUCUCAGAACUAAAAUGCUACUGGUUGAUUAUUAUCUAAUUUCAUAAAAUUUUUAAUGCUUUAAAAAUCACACUGAAACUACUUCUCUGGAUUUAUUAAAAAUACUUCUCUGAAAGACUUUUACAAAAAUAUAAAUCUUGGAACAGUAGAAUACAGCAAACAAACUGAGUGACCUAUUAUGUCAGAAUCUGAAUCAGAACCCACAUUUUAGAAAAUUUGAGUUAGCCAGCAGAAAUUCAUGAUUUGACACAUACAUGCACAAAUAAGAUCAUCUCUUAUUUGCAGAAAUUGGAGAGGCAAGUCAGAAAAUGUAAUCUAAUAUUUAGGAUUGCCAAAUACAAAUCCUAAAUGUUCAGAAACAUCAUUUUUAAUUUUUUUUAAAAAGUGGGGAAAGACCAUAGAAAAUUAUUUUGCCUUGAUGAAUGGGAAUUGCACUGGUUUUUACUAAACAAUAGAUAAGAAAUUAUUAGAUUAUGAGACAGCAGAUUAGUAAUAGAUGAUUUGAGGUGCAAUGAGUACAACAAUAUAAAAACAAUAAAAUGUGAAACGUUGCAAAGUUGCAGUAAGGAAAUGGGCACAAAGGACGUCUCUAGUCUAUUUGUUUUACUUAUAUAUAUUUAUAUUAUUCCUUUUAUAUGUUAACAGUGCAGUGUUCAUGAAUAUGGAAGGGUGUUGACAAAUAUGGGAUACCAAAUGGCUAUAUUCAUUUUGCAUCUUUGUACAUGGUCAGAUACAAGCACCACAAUGUCUUGCUGAACAGAACAUACUUUAUUCUCUUUAUUUUAUUGACCUUCUUGAAAAUUAAUGAGCUAUAGUCAUUUAGCGAUCUCCACAAACUAUUAAAAAAGUUGCCUAACAAAUAUGUUUUAAAAUGCUCUUGAUUAAAGUUGAUAUGGAAUGUUUACACUGACAUACAAGAACAUUGCUCCUUAAUCCAUUUUUGCAAGGGAUUAAAUUUUCAGUCAGUGAAAACAUGGGUUAACAACAUAGUUUCUGGUUCAUUGAAGCCUCAGACUUUUGGGUUCUCCUUUGAAAUGGAAGAUGUAAAGAUAAUAUAAUGUAAUUCAUUGUUGUAUUAAAGCUGUCAGUACUAAAAAUAAAACCUAGA